rnacentral:rRNA from 1 species
GAUGAACGCUGGCGGCGUGCCUAAUACAUGCAAGUCGAGCGAACAGAUGGGGAGCUUGCUCCUCUGACGUUAGCGGCGGACGGGUGAGUAACACGUGGAUAACCUACCUAUAAGACUGGGAUAACUUCGGGAAACCGGAGCUAAUACCGGAUAAUAUAUUGAACCGCAUGGUUCAAUAGUGGAAGACGGUUUUGCUGUCACUUAUAGAUGGAUCCGCGCCGCAUUAGCUAGUUGGUAAGGUAGCGGCUUACCAAGGCAACGAUGCGUAGCCGACCUGAGAGGGUGAUCGGCCACACUGGAACUGAGACACGGUCCAGACUCCUACGGGAGGCAGCAGUAGGGAAUCUUCCGCAAUGGGCGAAAGCCUGACGGAGCAACGCCGCGUGAGUGAUGAAGGUCUUCGGAUCGUAAAACUCUGUUAUUAGGGAAGAACAAAUGUGUAAGUAACUAUGCACGUCUUGACGGUACCUAAUCAGAAAGCCACGGCUAACUACGUG